UUCCCAGGUUCAAGCAAUUCUCCUGCCUCAGUCUCCCGAGUAGCUGGAACUACAGGCGUGUGCCACCAUACCUGACUAAUUUUGGUAUUUUUAGUAAAGACACAGUUUCCCCAUGUCGGACAGGCUGGUCUCAAAACUCCUGACCUCAGGUGAUUUGCCCGCCUCAGCCUCCCAAAGUGCUGGGAUCACAGGCAUGAGCCACCGCGCCCGGCCAGAAAUGUCUUCUGACAAAGGGCCCAAUCCCCAGCCCUGCUUUUCCCUGCAGGAGCUGACUCAGUGCUCUCCUGACUGACAGUCCCUCAGCCCUAUGCCUAUGACCUGCUACCCACGGACAAAGAGAGGCCAUCAGCAGCGAGCAGCUUCCUGCUGCCUCCCCCAUGUCUGGCUAUGGAGCAGCCCACGGCAGG